UACGUAGGGUGCAGGCGUUAAUCGGAAUUACUGGGCGUAAAGCGUGCGCAGGCGGUUUCUUAAGUCAGAUGUGAAAGCCCCGGGCUUAACCUGGGAAUUGCGUUUGAAACUGGGAGACUGGAGUGUGGCAGAGGGGGGUGGAAUUCCACGUGUAGCAGUGAAAUGCGUAGAUAUGUGGAGGAACACCGAUGGCGAAGGCAGCCCCCUGGGCUAACACUGACGCUCAUGCACGAAAGCGUGGGGAGCAAACAGG
rnacentral:rRNA from 1 species